UCAGGCCUAACACAUGCAAGUCGAGCGCGAAAGUCUUCGGAUGAGUAGAGCGGCGAACGGGUGAGUAAUGCAUGGGAAUCUGCCUGGUAGUGGGGGACAACGUCUCGAAAGGGACGCUAAUACCGCAUACGCCCUACGGGGGAAAGGGGGGGAUCUUCGGACCUCUCGCUAUCAGAUGAGCCCAUGUCAGAUUAGCUAGUUGGUGAGGUAAAGGCUCACCAAGGCGACGAUCUGUAACUGGUCUGAGAGGAUGAUCAGUCACACUGGAACUGAGACACGGUCCAGACUCCUACGGGAGGCAGCAGUGGGGAAUAUUGGACAAUGGGGGCAACCCUGAUCC
rnacentral:rRNA from 1 species